GCCGCGCGGGUCGCGGAGCGUCUCGGGGGAGCCGCGCUCGUGGAUCACGGUGGAGAAGCGCACGAUGACGGGGGUCUGCACGCCGGGGGCACGGAGGAAGUCGGCGCAGGUGAGGUGGGACACGUCGUGGGUCACCUCGAAGAAGCCCUUGGCGCUGGCGCCCCGGGCGUGCACCACCCGCUCCGGGAUGCGCUCGCGGUCGAAGUCGGCGAUCUUCUCCACCAGGUGGUAGUCCUCCAGCAGGAUUGGGCCUGAAUUCACAGUCACAGUACAUACAAGCAUCGUCAGUAAAUCAAUUUGCAGGCGUCGUCAGCAUCAAACACUCGAUUGAUAAUUUGAUAUGCAUGGUAUGUUUGUCCUGAAUUGUUCUUAAUCUCCUCUAUGAUUAUUAACACUUAAAGAAUAAUCAAGUUCUUUGUGUCUUUCUUUCACCAUGAAUGAUUCAGUUGUUCCCAAU
rnacentral:lncRNA from 1 species